UACGUAGGGUGCAAGCGUUAUCCGGAAUUAUUGGGCGUAAAGAGCUCGUAGGCGGUUUGUCGCGUCUGCCGUGAAAGUCCGGGGCUCAACUCCGGAUCUGCGGUGGGUACGGGCAGACUAGAGUGAUGUAGGGGAGACUGGAAUUCCUGGUGUAGCGGUGAAAUGCGCAGAUAUCAGGAAGAACACCAAUGGCGAAAGCAGCUUUCUGGGACGGUACUGACGCUGAGACGCGAAAGCGUGGGGAGCGAACAGG
rnacentral:rRNA from 1 species